GCGGGAAUAGUUCAAUGGUAGAACUUCAGCCUUCCAAGCUGAUAGCGCGGGUUCGAUUCCCGCUUCCCGCUCCA
rnacentral:tRNA from 1 species